rnacentral:rRNA from 1 species
GAGUUUUGAUCAUGGCUCAGGAUGAACGCUAGCUACAGGCUUAACACAUGCAAGUCGAGGGGAAACGAUAUUGGAAGCUUGCUUUCGAUAGGCGUCGCCGGCGCACGGGUGAGUAACGCGUAUCCAACCUGCCCACCACUGGGGAUAACCUUGCGAAAGUAAGACUAAUACCCAAUGAUAUCUCUAGAAGACAUCUGAAAGAGAUUAAAGAUUUAUCGGUGAUGGAUGGGGAUGCGUCUGAUUAGCUUGUUGGCGGGGUAACGGCCCACCAAGGCGACGAUCAGUAGGGGUUCUGAGAGGAAGGUCCCCCACAUUGGAACUGAGACACGGUCCAAACUCCUACGGGAGGCAGCA